UCAACAGGGGUUUGGCGGAUCCGGUCCCGUGGCCGAUCACGGGGGCCGUCUUGAAGAGUUCGAUCGACUUAUUCCAUAGCUCCAGCCGCUGCCCGACAGACGUGGUUCCUGCCUCUUUUUGAGCCGCGCGAUAUUCGCUGAAUGCCGCGGAAACUUUGUGCUGCAGGUUCGAAGAGAUUGUCCAGAGGCAGGCAAUCGUAACAACGAGGGCCAGGCAUGCGAUCCAGAAAUGUCUGCGACCAAGGUAGCGGUAGGCAAAAAACACCGCGAGGACGGGACAAUACACCAGCGCAGUCCGCGAGA
rnacentral:misc_RNA from 1 species